rnacentral:rRNA from 1 species
UACGUAGGCAGCGAGCGUUGUUCGGAGUUACUGGGCGUAAAGCGUGCGUAGGCGGUAGUCCAAGUCUGGUGUGAAAUCUCCCGGCUUAACUGGGAGGGUGCGCCGGAAACUGGGCUGCUGGAGUGCGGGAGAGGUAAGCGGCAUUCCCGGUGUAGCGGUGAAAUGCGUAGAUAUCGGGAGGAACACCUGCGGUGUAGACGGCUUACUGGACCGCCACUGACGCUGAGGCACGAAAGCGUGGGUAGCAAACAGG